GGUCCACAAGGAGUGAUUUUCUUCCCUAAGAAUCGGACGUGGGUUCUGCCCAUUGUGUCUGCCUGGCGGUGCAGCCUGGCAGGAAGCAGGUGGCCCAGCGUGGGACGUGGCUGCCGUGGGUCCCCAUCCCAGUGCCACCCUGCCCCCUGGCCGAGGAGCCUGGCAGCGGCCCCCGAGGUACCGGGAAGGAGAUGCAUAUGGAGAAAUCUUCCAGAACUGAGGCCCCGUCAGCGAAUUGCACCUGUGGUGCAGUGAGUGGCGCAGGAGUUUGCACAUUUUUCUGUGACAAACCUGAGAGUAGAGGCAGGUGAUGUGAUCCGAGGUGCAAGCUCAGUCCUGCCUCCAAACCAGGGUGGACCCUGAUCCCAUGUGACUGGUGUCCUUAAAAGAAGAGUUGAUUAGGACACAGACACACACGGAGGGAAGACCACCUGAGGACACAGGGAGAAGACAGCAUCUCCAAGCCAAGGAGGGAGGCCUCCAAAGAAACCAUCCCUGCCGACACCCUGACCUUGGACUUCCAGCCUCUGAACGGGGCCCUGCGCUCCUGCUUCCCAGGACCGUCUCUCCCAGGCGAUGGCUCUCGACGCCCCAGAGGGAACUUGCUCCUUCCCCGUUCGGGAGCCUCACUCCGCCGUUUCCCGCCCAAGAUGCCCCUCUCAAGGGCACAUCUGCCCUUCAAUGAGGUGGAUUUAAAACUCUCCAAAUACCAACAGGAGACUGUGUUCAAGCCUCCACUGGGAUCACCAGCGCAAUGGUCUCUUAGGUUCCCUGACCAGGCAUUGAGCUCGGGCCCCGGCAGUGAAAGCUCUGAGUCCUAACCGCUGGACCACCAGGGAAUUCCCAGCAAAAUUUUAAGUCUAUAAUCCAUCAUUGUUUUUUUAAAUUUAUUUUCAUUUUUAUUGACGUAUAGUUGAUUUACAAUGUUGUGUUACUUUCUGCUGUACAGCAAA